AAUAACCAAAUAUAAUAGUUGGGCUAAAGGUCAAGUUGGUAAUUUUUCUUACAUCUCUCCCUUUCGGAGCCGAAGUAUCAUAUACGUCCCCAAAAUAAAGAGCCUUGAAUACGAGAAGAAAAGUACAUAACCUAACAAUAUUGUAUUUUAACA
rnacentral:antisense_RNA from 1 species